rnacentral:rRNA from 1 species
GACGAACGCUGGCGGCGUGCUUAACACAUGCAAGUCGAGCGGGUAAGGCCCUUUCGGGGGUACACGAGCGGCGAACGGGUGGAGUAACACGUGGGUGACCUGCCCUCAGCUCUGGGGAUAACGCCCGGGGAAACUGGGUCUAAUACUGGAUAUGACUCCAUGACGCAUGUUGUGGGGUGGAAAGCCUUGUGCGGCUGAGGAUGGGCCCGCGGCCUAUCAGCUUGUUGGUGGGGGAUGGCCUACCAAGGCGACGACGGGUAGCCGGCCUGAGAGGGCGACCGGCCACACGU